rnacentral:rRNA from 1 species
GAGUUUGAUCAUGGCUCAGAACGUACGCUGGCGGCACGCCUAACACAUGCAAGUCGAACGAAGUAGCAAUACUUAGUGGCAGACGGGUGAGUAACAUGUAGGUAUCUUCCCUUUGGCCUGGAAUAACACGAGGAAACUUGUGCUAAUACUGGAUAAGUCUUUACGGAGAAAGCUUUAUGCACCAUUGGAUGAGCCUGCACUUGAUUAGUUAGUUGGUAGGGUAAAAGCCUACCAAGACUUUGAUCAAUAGCUGAUUUGAGAGGAUGAUCAGCCACAUUGGGACUGAGACACGGCCCAAACUCCUACGGGAGGCAGCAGUGGGGAAUCUUGCACAAUGGAGGAAACUCUGAUGCAGCGAUGCCGCGUGAGUGAAGAAGGCCCUUGGGUUGUAAAGCUCUUUCGUCGGGGAAGAAAAUGACUGUACCCGAAUAAGAAGGUCCGGCUAACUUCGUGCCAGCAGCCGCGGUAAUACGAAGGGACCUAGCGUAGCUCGGAAUUACUGGGCUUAAAGAGUUCGUAGGUGGUUGAAAAAGUUGGUGGUGAAAUCCCAGAGCUUAACUCUGGAACUGCCAUCAAAACUUUUCAGCUAGAGUUUGAUAGAGGAAAGUAGAAUUUCUAGUGUAGAGGUGAAAUUCGUAGAUAUUAGAAAGAAUUCCAAUUGCGAAGGCAGCUUUCUGGAUCAUUACUGACACUGAGGAACGAAAGCAUGGGUAGCGAAGAGGAUUAGAUACCCUCGUAGUCCAUGCC